rnacentral:rRNA from 1 species
UACGAAGGGGGCUAGCGUUGCUCGGAAUCACUGGGCGUAAAGCGCACGUAGGCGGAUUGUUAAGUCAGGGGUGAAAUCCUGGAGCUCAACUCCAGAACUGCCUUUGAUACUGGCGAUCUUGAGUCCGGGAGAGGUGAGUGGAACUGCGAGUGUAGAGGUGAAAUUCGUAGAUAUUCGCAAGAACACCAGUGGCGAGGGCGGCUCACUGGCCCGGUACUGACGCUGAGGUGCGAAAGCGUGGGGAGCAAACAGG